AUACGGAGGGUGCAAGCGUUACUCGGAAUCACUGGGCGUAAAGCGCGCGCAGGCGGCCAUUUAAGUUGGAUGUGAAAGCCUAUGGCUCAACCAUAGAACUGCAUCCAAAACUAUUUAGCUAGAGUGUGGGAGAGGAAGAUGGAAUUAGUUGUGUAGGGGUAAAAUCCGUAGAGAUAACUAGGAAUACCAAAAGCGAAGGCAAUCUUCUGGAACACUACUGACGCUGAGGCGCGAAAGCGUGGGGAGCAAACGGGAUUAGAAACCCCAGUAGUCC
rnacentral:rRNA from 1 species